rnacentral:lncRNA from 1 species
GGUGCUAAAAUCUUAUGUGUCAAGGGCAUUGUGAUGGCGCGAUCCAUGUCUCCUGCUAGCGCUCGACGUCCCGUAGCCCCAAAGAGGAGGGCUCCAAGGUACUUUUGAUUGAAUGACUUAAUUUUUUCUCCUAUGUUGUGCUAGAGGACUAACUGAAACUAUGGCUCUGCUAUGUAUCAGGUUGGACAACAAGCUUCACUGGAUGAAAGCAUUUCCCUUCUAAAACAGAGUGCUGCUGAUAUGAAUGCACAAGUUAGUCUUGAUACUAAGAUGGUCAUGGAAUUGCUUGAUCUAUACUAGGUCAACAUGUCAGCCAACCACUUAAAAAUAAUCAUUUGCAUUUCUUCCUCUAAACUGUGAAACCUGACGAGUGAUGACGCAUCAGCAAUUUAGCAAUAGAAGAUGUCAGUGAACACGAGUGCCAGUCAAGAGCAAUGAAACGCUAGAUACUUUAGAGUGUAAUUUUAUAUAAGAAUAAAUAAAUGACACUUAAGUCAUUAAGCAAUUGUUGUUGAGGUAUUGUCUCACCCUUUAUCUGCUCUCUUUUAAACUGUGGAAUGCUAUGGGCUGGAGCUACAGGGGAGGAGGGAGGUAAGCGUGAAUGCAAUGAAUAUUGUUCGGAUAAAAAAUUGGGUGCAAACUGAGUACUGACGGUGAGACUUAUUCAUUUGUUUAUCCUUUUGCCCUUUUAAUCAAGAACAAUGUUCAGAGCUUACAUGGUUGCUGAAAUUUAAAUCUAUGAAAUAGAAAUAUUAAUACCAUACAAUGAUCAGUGCAGAGUAGGAUAGUUAUUGAGUUCUUCCUGAGUUUUCAUUGAGAAAAGAUUGGAACUGUGUGAUUUGUUCUGAACUUCUAAUACAAAGUAAAGAUGGUGUGCAUGGGAGGAGCUUGAAGUGGCAUUCCCAUGGAGGGAUGGCUGAUGGCAAGGCAAGUUUCUCUCAAUCCUUCUCCCCCCUUCACUCUUGAUGUCUAUCAGAAUAGAUUCACCUUUGUUCUGAUUUUUCUUUAUAUGUCCCAGGUGCUAAAAUCUUAUGUGUCAAGGGCAUUGUGAUGGCGCGAUCCAUGUCUCCUGCGAGCGCUCAGCAUCCCGGAGCCCCAAAGAGUAGGGCUUCAAGGUCCUUUUGAUUGAAUGACUUGAUUUAUUUCUCCUGUGUUGUGCUAGAGCUAACUGAAACUAUGGCUUUGCUAUGUAUCAGGCUGGACAACAAGCUUCACUGGAUGAAAGUGUUUCCCUUCUAAAACGGAGUGCUGCUGACAUGAAUGCACAAGUUAGUCUUGAUACUAAGAUUGUCAUGGAAUUGCUUGAUCUAUGCUAGGUCAAUAUGUCAGCCAACCACUUAAAAAUAAUCAAUUGCAUUUCUUCCUCUGAACUGUGAAACCUGACGAGUGAUGACGCAUCAGCAAUUUAGCAAUAGAAGAUGUCAGUGAACACGAGUACUCAGUCAAGAGCAAUGAAGCCUAGAUACUUUAGAGUGUAAUUUUAUAUAAGAAUAACUAAAUGACACUUAAGUCAUUGAGCAAUUGUUGUUGAGGUAUUGUCUCACCCUUUAUCUGCUCUGUUUUAAACUGUGUAAUGCUAUGGGCUGGAGCUACAGGGGAAGAGGGAGGUAAGCGUGGAUGCAAUGAAUAUUGUUCGGAUAAAAUAUUGUCUUCAGCCAUCUGUCUCGCUCUGGUUUUCCUGUAGUGUGGAGUUUCAACUCUCGAUCUGGUCCGCGUGUUAUUGAUUCAGCUGCCUCACCAUUGCAG